CGGGGGCAGAUCCCCGGCUCCUCCACAGCGACUCUGCGGCCGCGGGUGGGGCCGCUGACGCGGUGAGUUCAGGUCUCCAAAUCCAGUUAUUUGAAGAUGGAUUAUUAUGCGAUGUCGCCUCUCUCCAGGUCUUCUCCCCGCUGAACAAGUUCUUUCAAUUAUAACUAAGGAGACAUUAGGGACGAACUGAAUUUGCUAAUGGCUUGAAAAGGGCGGGGCCAGAAAUGAAUACAGGGCAGUGCGGGAGAUCCCUGCAGGGAAGGCAAGAUCAGGGCACCCUAGUCGCUCAAGUUUAGCUAAUAAUGAAUGAAGUCUGUGACGAAAAAGUCCAGUGUCCCUGUUGUUCGUGUGAAAGAAAACAUUCAAGUCAUAGAAUCCAGUGGCCCUUGAUACACUCACUUGAGAAGGCGCUGGAGACAGAAGAAACAGAUCCAAGAAAACCAAGACCUAUUAAGACUCAAGCCUAAUGCUCAGCCAGUCCAUGGCGGUAUUUAUUAGUCAUCCUGCCUUGGCAAGUUCUUCCUUGUGAGCCUCAAUUUACUCAUUUGCGAUCAGGAGAUGCUAACAUCUAACUCACAAUUCUGUCUUGAAAAUAAGUAUGUGUGUAAAAUGUUUAGCACACGAUGAAAGCACAGCGUAUAGGAGCCCCUGUUCCAGAGAUGACAGCCCAAAUGCCAUCAAAGAGUGGGCAGAUAAUGUGAAUAAAUGAAGUUGGAAAAUGCUUA